UGGUCUCGGAGGCCGGGAUUCGCGGAGGGUCGACCAGCAGGGAGAAGCCUCAGGAGGAGGAAACCUCAGACGGAUCGCCGGGGAGGCAGCGCGGGAUCCCAGCCUCAGGUGUGCGCGGACGGUGUGCGGCGCACACAACCAAGCUUAGGAGCCGACUGUUAAGAUGCCCAAGUGACACGGACAAGUUUCUCCUCUGCAACCCAAUGAGAUCUGCUGACCACGAGAGCAUCGCGGGGCCGCCAAAGGAUUCUGGAAAAUGUGGUCCCGGGUGGCCAGUGUGCGCUGACCUUCACCUGAAGGUACGGCUUGAAGGAAACUUCUGGAGGGUGGGGUGGUGUUGAAGAGAAGGCACAGUUGUAACCAUUUUGUUCAACAUGGGCGUUUUCUUUGUGCAUUGAUUUGCAUUUUUAAAGGUAUUCCAUUAAAAAUAUGUUUAUC
rnacentral:lncRNA from 1 species